UCCCUGGUGGUCUAGUGGCUAAGGAUCCUGUGCUCUCGUUACAGUGGCCCGGGUCCGAAUCCCAAGCAGGGAA